rnacentral:rRNA from 1 species
GUGGGGAAUAUUGGACAAUGGGCGAAAGCCUGAUCCAGCCAUGCCGCGUGUGUGAAGAAGGUCUUCGGAUUGUAAAGCACUUUAAGUUGAGAGGAAGGGCAGUAAGUUAAUACCUUGCUGUUUUGACGUUACCAACAGAAUAAGCACCGGCUAACUUCGUGCCAGCAGCCGCGGUAAUACGAAGGGUGCAAGCGUUAAUCGGAAUUACUGGGCGUAAAGCGCGCGUAGGUGGUUCAGCAAGUUGAAGGUGAAAUCCCCGGGCUCAACCUGGGAACUGCCUCCAAAACUACUGAGCUAGAGUACGGUAGAGGGUAGUGGAAUUUCCUGUGUAGCGGUGAAAUGCGUAGAUAUAGGAAGGAACACCAGUGGCGAAGGCGACUACCUGGACUGAUACUGACACUGAGGUGCGAAAGCGUGGGGAGCAAACAGGAUUAGAUACCCUUGUAGUCC